rnacentral:rRNA from 1 species
GACGAACGCUGGCGGCGUGCUUAACACAUGCAAGUCGAACGGAAAGGCCCUGCUUUUGUGGGGUGCUCGAGUGGCGAACGGGUGAGUAACACGUGAGUAACCUGCCCUUGACUUUGGGAUAACUUCAGGAAACUGGGGCUAAUACCGGAUAGGAGCUCCUGCUGCAUGGUGGGGGUUGGAAAGUUUCGGCGGUUGGGGAUGGACUCGCGGGUUAUCAGCUUGUUGGUGGGGUAGUGGCUUACCAAGGCUUUGACGGGUAGCCGGCCUGAGAGGGUGACCGGCCACAUUGGGACUGAGAUACGGCCCAGACUCCUACGGGAGGCAGCAGUGGGGAAUAUUGCACAAUGGGCGGAAGCCUGAUGCAGCAACGCCGCGUGCGGGAUGACGGCCUUCGGGUUGUAAACCGCUUUCGCCUGUGACGAAGCGUGAGUGACGGUAAUGGGUAAAGAAGCACCGGCUAACUAAGUG